GAGCAGUCCCUCUACGGAGGAGAGGCUCGCCAGGGAAACACGCAUCUCCAGAUGUGGCAUAUUAACUGGC
rnacentral:ribozyme from 1 species